CUGGAAUAUUGCUACAUCACAAGAGACGCCAUCUCUUUACAUUCCAGUCUUCUCACCUGGGAUGAACCUCUGUUUUCACUGCUAAGGGUGAUUGUGAAGAAUCUGAAAAAUGUAUGGAAAAGUACAUGCUUGGAUCUCAUGUAAUACUCAAAAGAC